rnacentral:rRNA from 1 species
AGAGUUUGAUCCUGGCUCAGGACGAACGCUGGCGGCGCGCCUAACACAUGCAAGUCGAACGAGUGAGAGAGAGCUUACUUUCUCGAGCGAGUGGCGAACGGGUGAGUAACGCGUGAGGAACCUGCCUCAAAGAGGGGGGACAACAGUUGGAAACGACUGCUAAUACCGCAUAAGCCCACAGGUCGGCAUCGACCAGAGGGAAAAGGAGCAAUCCGCUUUGAGAUGGCCUCGCGUCCGAUUAGCUAGUUGGUGAGGUAAUGGCCCACCAAGGCGACGAUUGGUAGCCGGACUGAGAGGUUGAACGGCCACAUUGGGACUGAGACACGGCCCAGACUCCUACGGGAGGCAGCAGUGGGGGAUAUUGCACAAUGGGGGAAACCCUGAUGCAGCGACGCCGCGUGGAGGAAGAAGGUUUUCGGAUUGUAAACUCCUGUCGUUAGGGACGAUAAUGACGGUACCUAACAAGAAAGCACCGGCUAACUACGUGCCAGCAGCCGCGGUAAAACGUAGGGUGCAAGCGUUGUCCGGAAUUACUGGGUGUAAAGGGAGCGCAGGCGGACCGGCAAGUUGGAAGUGAAAACUAUGGGCUCAACCCAUAAAUUGCUUUCAAAACUGCUGGCCUUGAGUAGUGCAGAGGUAGGUGGAAUUCCCGGUGUAGCGGUGGAAUGCGUAGAUAUCGGGAGGAACACCAGUGGCGAAGGCGACCUACUGGGCACCAACUGACGCUGAGGCUCGAAAGCAUGGGUAGCAAACAGGAUUAGAUACCCUGGUAGUCCAUGCCGUAAACGAUGAUUACUAGGUGUUGGAGGAUAGACCCUUUCAGUGCAGCAGUUAACACAAAUAAGUAAUCCACCUGGGGAGUACGACCGCAAGGUUGAAAUUCAAAGGAAUUGACGGGGGCCCGCACAAGCAGUGGAGUAUGUGGUUUAAUUUGAAGCAACGCGAAGAACCUUACCAGGUCUUGACAUCCGAUGCAUAGUGCAGAGAUGCAUGAAGUCCUUCGGGACAUCGAGACAGGUGGUGCAUGGUUGUCGUCAGCUCGUGUCGUGAGAUGUUGGGUUAAGUCCCGCAACGAGCGCAACCCUUAUUGCCAGUUACUACGAAAGAGGACUCUGGCGAGACUGCCGUUGACAAAACGGAGGAAGGUGGGGAUGACGUCAAAUCAUCGUGCCCUUUAUGACCUGGGCUACACACGUACUACAAUGGCGUUUAACAAAGAGAAGCAAGACCGCGAGGUGGAGCAAAACUCAAAAACAACGUCUCAGUUCAGAUUGCAGGCUGCAACUCGCCUGCAUGAAGUCGGAAUUGCUAGUAAUCGCGGAUCAGCAUGCCGCGGUGAAUACGUUCCCGGGCCUUGUACUCACCGCCCGUCA